rnacentral:rRNA from 1 species
ACGGGAGGCAGCAGUGGGGAAUAUUGGGCAAUGGGCGAAAGCCUGACCCAGCAACGCCGCGUGAGGGAAGAAGGUCCUCGGAUUGUAAACUUCUUUUAUCAGGGACGAAGGAAGUGACGGUACCUGAUGAAUAAGCCACGGCUAACUACGUGCCAGCAGCCGCGGUAAUACGUAGGUGGCGAGCGUUAUCCGGAUUUACUGGGUGUAAAGGGCGCGUAGGCGGGGAUGCAAGUCAGAUGUGAAAUCCAUGGGCUUAACUCAUGAACUGCAUUUGAAACUGUAUCUCUUGAGUGUCGGAGAGGUAGAUGGAAUUCCUAGUGUAGCGGUGAAAUGCGUAGAUAUUAGGAGGAACACCAGUGGCGAAGGCGAUCCACUGGACGAUAACUGACGCUGAGGCGCGAAAGCGUGGGGAGCAAACAGGAUUAGAUACCCUGGUA